ensembl:lncRNA
GUCCAUUACUAAAAAAGACUGCACAUAAAAAUACGUCUGUGCACACUUUAACUACCUGGAUUAACUUACACACACCCCAAUAAAAUAAGUGUUUAUUGGUUAUAUAUUAGGCUGUAGACAAGGUCAACCUGAGGCCUGUUUCAUUAAACAAGUUUACCAAAUAAGCCAGGUUUAUUUCAGUUAGUCUAACUUAUUGUCAGCUGAUUUGAUUCCAAAUAAGUCAGACUAACUGAAAUAAGACUGGCUUAUUUGGUAAACUUGUUUUAUGAAACAGGCCCCAGCUAUAUGUCACACACUCUAAAAAAAAGAUGGUUCUUUACAUGUAGAACCAGUUCUAUUUAGAGCCGUAACAUCCUGAAGAACCAUUUUAAUGCUGAAAUGGUUCUUUCUGUCAGAGUUUAGGGUUCUUUAUUCCCGCCCUUUUGUUUUUCAAAUCUGUAACUAUCAAAGCACUUCAUUACUGAGUUUCCGGAGUUCAGUGAUCCAAGACUGUCCACACACUCUCAACAGGUAAAUUAUUUCAUUCUUAAAUUUAAAUACAAAUGUAACUUUAUAAUUGUAUCUGAUUUUCAAACAAACAUGUUCUUUUCUCUUCUUUUUUGAUCACAUGUAAGUGUGAGCAGCUCCAGCUGAGGAUACUCCUCUUCUCCACUAAGUAAGUAACAGAGACAUUAAAUUUAUAAUCUAUAUUGUCAGAUCUUUUUUUUUUAUAAUUACUUAUUUAUUACUAACAGAGGCUACACUUAAAAAAAAAGAUGGCUCAUUAGGCCUACUGAUUUUCUGAAGUUCAGUUAUCCAACUACGCAGACUGUCAACACACUCUCAGCAUGUAAAUUAUUUCUCUCUUAAAAUGUCUAUAAUUUUUAACUUUCAUAUUUUAACUGGUUUCUUACAAAUCAUGUAUUUUUCUCUUUUCAGUUUAAGAGAACAUGUAAGUGUGACCAGCCCCGUUCAGUUAAGGAUACUUCUCUCCUCUUCACCACCAAAUGCUGUCGCAUCCUUCAACAUCAUCAUCUGCAGAGAGAAACGGCCACUCGAUCACACCAAAAUACACAUAAUGAUGGACGUCCAGGCAUCAUAGAGGAUUAUGAAAUGACAGUAUUUCACUGGAACUUGGUCUUCAUUUCACUAUUUCCAGUUUCUAUUUUGUUUUACUUCUUUAAGUAUUUAUUUAUGUUCAAUGUCAAUUGUCAUUUAUUAAUGUAUUCUGCUAAUAACUGUUGUUAGAGCACUGUCAUUUUUGGUACAAAUUCACAUGUGAUUAAAAAAUAAAAGUACCUAAUUGACAUGUUGUUGUUGUUGU